GACAUUAUCCUACGGGCAUUUGGUCGAUUAGAAACGAUACAGAGAAGAUUGGCAUAGCUCCUGCACUAAGGAUGACACGCUCAAUCAAAGAGAAGCAACCAAUUUUU
rnacentral:snRNA from 1 species